rnacentral:rRNA from 1 species
CACGUAGGGGCCAAGCGUUGUCCGGAUUUAUUGGGCGUAAAGAGCUCGUAGGCGGUUCAGUCAGUCGGGUGUGAAAUCUCCGGGCUUAACUCGGAGGGGCCACCCGAUACUGCUGUGACUUGAGUCCGGUAGGGGAGUGGGGAAUUCCUGGUGUAGCGGUGAAAUGCGCAGAUAUCAGGAGGAACACCGGUGGCGAAGGCGACUACCUGGCCUGUUCUUGACGCUGAGGCGCGAAAGCUAGGGGAGCAAACAGG